rnacentral:rRNA from 1 species
CCCUGUGGCCAUACCGGACUGAACGGGUCCGAUCCUGUCCGAUUUUGGAAGCUAUGCAGUCCUGGACCCAGCUAGUUCUUGGAUGGUAGACCGCCUGGGAAUCCCAGGUGCCGUAGGCU